UACGUAGGGUGCGAGCGUUGUCCGGAAUUAUUGGGCGUAAAGCGUGCGCAGGCGGUUUUGUAAGUCUGUCGUGAAAGCCCCGGGCUCAACCUGGGAAUUGCGAUGGAGACUGCAAGGCUUGAAUCUGGCAGAGGGGGGGUAGAAUUCCACGUGUAGCAGUGAAAUGCGUAGAGAUGUGGAGGAACACCGGUGGCGAAGGCGGCCACCUGGUCCGGUACUGACGCUGAGGCGCGAAAGCGUGGGGAGCAAACAGG
rnacentral:rRNA from 1 species